CGGAUGGGUGCGUAACGCGUAUGCAACCUACCUUAUACAGGGAAUAACCUUUCGAAAGGGAGACUAACACCCCAUAGUAUUGAUUUAAGGCAUCUUAGAUUAAUUAAAUAUUUAUAGGUAUAAGAUGGGCAUGCGUAUGAUUAGCUAGUUGGUAAGGUAACGGCUUACCAAGGCGACGAUCAUUAGGGGUUCUGAGAGGAACGGUCCCCCCACACUGGUACUGAGACACGGACCAGACUCCGUACGGGAGGCAGCAGUGAGGAAUAUUGGUCAAUGGACGAGAGUCUGAACCAGCCAAGUCGCGUGCAGGAAGAAAAUGUCCUAUGGAUUAGUAAACUGUCUUUUGCGAGGGGAAAUAAAGUGCAUCACGUGUGAUUGUUUUGUAUGUACUCUGCGAAUAAGGAUCGGCUAACUCCGUGCCAGCCGCCGC
rnacentral:rRNA from 1 species